UUCACUGUUCAAGCCAAUCCGAGUCAAGAUGUCCAUCCGAACUUCGAACCGUACGAACGCUUCGAACGAUUCCAAGCACGGUGAUUCCUAACGUUCCAAGCGUAGUGAAAUGACCGCAGCCGUCUUCGAAGUGUCGCGCUAAAUCAAAAGAGAGAAUUCAUCGGGGGUCAUGUCGAUCCUGAUGAUGGAGCCCUUCUACGGCGGCUCGCACAAGCAGCUGGCGGACCUUCUGGCGAGCGAGCUGAAGGAUGAGUGCACGCUGGUCACCAUGCCGGCCUGCAAGUGGCACUGGCGGGCACGCACCUCGGCGAUCUGGCUCGCGCAGAACGUGCCGCCCUCGGACAGCUACAGGGUGCUGUUUGCCAGCAGUGUGGUGCCUCUGGCCGAACUGCUGGGGCUGUGCCCCUGGCUACAGACACUACACAAAGUGGUCUACUUUCAUGAGAACCAGCUGGCCUAUCCCGUGCGCAACCCCCGUGUCAGGGACUUCCAGUACGGCUACAACCAAAUCCUCUCCUGCCUAGUGGCGGACCGGGUGGUGUUCAACUCGCGCCACAACCUGGAGUCGUUCCUCGGAGCAGUGGGCCCCUUCCUGAGGCAGAUGCCCGACUGCCGGCCGCCGCCUGGGACGCUGUCCCAGCGCAUCCGGGCCAAGGCCUCGGUGCUCUACUUCCCCCUGAACCUGCCAGCACCCAGGGCACUGGCACCCGAGUUUCCAGACAUCCUGCACAUAGUGUGGCCCCACCGAUGCACGACAAGGGCCCGGAGGAGUUCUUUGAAGCCCUGUUCCAGCUCAAGGCAGAGGGGCUCCCCUUCCGAGUGUCCGUUUUGGGAGAGGGCUACGCGGAUGUUCCAGAGGUGUUCUCGAGGGCCCGGGCCGAGCUGGAGGAGCACAUCCUGCAGUGGGGCCGGCUGGACAGCAGGGAGGCCUACCUGGGCCUGCUGGCCAAGGCACACGUGGCCGUCUCCACAGCCAGGCACGAGUUCUUUGGAGUGGCCAUGCUGGAGGCCACCUUCCUGGGCUGCUUCCCGCUGUGCCCCAACAGGCUGGUCUACCCAGAGAUCUUCCCGAGGGAGUGCCUCUACAACACCACCAACCAGCUCGUGAAGAAGCUGAGGAACUUUUGCGGAAAGCCGUCGGCCGUCAGGCGGCUGAAGCCCCAGGUGGACCACGAGAGAUACAGCUGGCAGGCGCUGCGGCCCCUCUACCUGGACCUGCUGAGGGCUGGCGGGACACGCGAGGACGCACCCAACGCGUGAACGUCCUGGCGAAAGCGACGGGGUCUGGCUUCGGGACGAGCCAGCUAGCUCCAGGAAACGACGGAACACCUCCCGGUUGAGAGACUCCCAAGAUGCUGUCUGCAGGGGCCGAAGAGGAAAAAGCCCUUGGGACGACCAAAGCGGACGGCGCGUCGAGGAAAGGCAUUCGAUGCCAACAAGGUCGUCCCGUUACUCCUGGAGUCUGCGACAGUCAGGACGACGCAGCCUCGCCGCAGCUUUGGAGACUAUGAGUGUGUGCAGUGUUCGGUGCCCCCACCUAGGGACUCGAGGCCUCAAAAAUCGCAGAGUACCACUCCAACGGGUACUCAGAUUGUGCACAUGCAACUGCACAUAAUGUAAAUAAAUGGCUCUUUACAACCUAAAGGCAGAACUCCAA
rnacentral:misc_RNA from 1 species